rnacentral:lncRNA from 1 species
GGUUAGUCGAAGAGGUAUUUGAAGACGCUGUUGAAGAAUUCACAGAUGUUGUUCCUGCUGAUUGUGUAUUUCCCAUUGAUGUAUUUAAUUUUCCAAAUGUUGUUGAUGAUAUACCAAACAAUGUGCCUGAUUUUGAUGUAACUGAACUUGAUUCCGGUGUUCCGGAUGUUUUUGUUUCAAUGAAUGAGGUUCCCGAGUAUGACUAUGAUGUCGCU